AACAACCCAGUCGUCAGCUGACGUCAUUUGGCAAUGAAAAUAAACAAGAUUGCGUUUUGUUUAUGUGUGCCAAGUUCAAGAGAGGAUUUUGAAUGAUCCUAUAGAAGUCUAACUCCCGGACUAACGGAGUCCUCAACCCACCCAUUCACUACCAGCUCAAGCAAUGCAAAGGAGCUGUUGCCGGCGCUGUAUAAAAUUUUUGAUUGAAAUUGAAACAAUAACAAACCAACAAACCCUUCCUUGUCUAAUUUAACGGAAUAUUUACACCGUGAAUCGCCAUGAACCGUUCGGAUUCCAUACCCAUAAAACGUGAUCGCUCCUUUGACAGCGUUCUCAAUCGUUUGCUCCGCAUGCGUUCUCAAAAUCAUGAGAGUUUCCGUGCGGCAAUGUACAACUUUCUGAUCGCAGCAGGCGUCGCUGCUUUUGUCGCCGUCUGCUUCAUCCUGGGACCUUUUGUGCGCCCACUGCUUUGGGCCUUUCUCAUGGGCGCUGUCUUGUUUCCAUUUAAAAGGAAGCUCGCGGAGUUGCUCAACAAUUGGUUUCAGCGUCUGGAGGAACGUGAUUCAAAUGUGCUUGUCUCGAUUUGUCUGGCACCACUGGAGGCUACCGAGCAUUGUGGUCGUUUAUUGAUCAACUGGUUGUGUCAGCAUUGGCAGCUUUUGCUCUCCGGCUGCGGUGUCGCCGUCUGCAUUAAACUUCUGGUCUUGUAUGCUCCUAAGGACUUCUUGCUUGCCCUCUGGCACUGGCUGACCUUCUCUCACGGACUUUUUGUGCGCAUCAUUGGCUAUCUGAAUGUAUAUUUGCUGCUUGGUCUGAUCGUCAUCUAUUUGACAUCUGUUCACUUCUUCUGGACGCCCGAGAAGAGCGCGCAUUUCGUCGUUGCCGGCCAGUCCAUGUGGAUCGCCGUUGCCGGCUAUCUGUGCAGCUUUCUAGGCGCUCUUCAGGUGCCUGUCUUCCUACUCAUCAUGGCUUAUGUGGUGGUAUCCACAGCGUAUCAUCUGCAGACAAGCGAUGACAGUGAUUCCGCCACCUUUCUCGAUCGUGUGCAAAAGUUAUUCGACAAGAAUGACUUUGAGAAAUCACUGAGCAAUAUCAGCAUCUGUCGUCGAGCUGGAGGCGAGGCAACAUUGCAAUCUGAUGUGGAGGACAUCUCCUUGAGUGACACCAUUGAUUCCACUGAUACAUUUGAUGCCAAGCCCACAGAGGAUACCGAAGGAGGACAUCAGAGUGAUACUUUCUUCAAGCUGCUGUUUUAUGCUUGCCUUGGCACAUUUCUCUAUCGCAAUAUUUGGAUGUUUAUACUGGCGGCUGUGCCAAUCUUCCUGCAUUUGCUGUACACCGUGGGAACUUACACAGGAAUUACCCAGUUUGUCUGCGGCAAGAUUAACGAUGGCUAUCAAGCCUUGAGGACUUGGGCUCUGGAGCAUCAUUCGGCGGUACUUCCUCUGUGCCUGCCUGGAGUAUUGGAGUUGAACUAUAAGAUUAAUUGUAUUGUUAGAGACUCGCUGAAAUCAUCUGUAGAGUCUGUCACAUCCAUACUCAUGAUCAUACUCAUGCUGCUCAUUAUCAUAUUUCUGAGUGUUUUCUUUUGCGUUAACAUCUAUUCAGAGACCAUUGAGGUCGCAUAUCUGGGCAAAGAUCUAAUUAACAAGACAAUCACAGAUCGUCCUGAGCUAAUUGAUAUUCUGCCCGCCAAUAUACAGGCGUCCAUUGAUGAUGCGCUCGACAAUGCGCACCAUUAUGGACGACGUAAGAUUGAGACCUAUAUUGAUGAUUGGCUAGUGGAUGCGGAUAAGGUGCAUGCCACCAAGCUCAAGGAGCAAAUACUCGAUGUCUGGGAUAGGUUGAUACAAUAUUGGAUAGAUUUUAACAAGGCGGGCACUUCAUAUGGUCCUCGAGUCCCUACGGAUGCUUUAAAGAGCACCUUUGGCGAGAUUGUCGAUAAUCCAGGACAUUUUAAAGAGCUAGUUUUAGUGGCAAAACAGGGCAUCAUUGGCUGGGCUCAGAGCAAUACCCAAACCAUUCUCGAGGUCGCCGAAUCCUUAUGGCACAUCAUACGCACCAAUCUAUCCGUCAUCAUGGGCGUUGCCGGCGAAAUCCUUUCAUUGCUGCUGUCGGGCGGACAGGCGUGCAUUGAAUUCAUCUUGGACAUGAUCGUAUUCUUCACAGCGCUCUUCUAUCUGUUGUCCAGCAGCCAGGAGAAGUACGCUCCUUUGCAGAUAACCAAAUAUUUGGGAUACUCAGCUUCGGGCAUAAAGAUCGCGGAUGCCUUGGAGAAUUCCAUUACGGUUGUGCUGAUAUCCAUGUUCAAGUGCUCCACAUUUACGGGUUUGUUCACUUGGUUGGUGCACACUGUGUUUGGUGCCCGCAUUGUCUUCCUGCCCUCGGCAUUGGCUGCACUUCUGGCAGCUGCUCCGUUCCUGGGCAGCUAUUGGUGUGCUGUGCCUGCUUUUCUGGAGCUGUGGCUGGCACAGGAUCGCUUCUAUGCAGGCUUGAUACUGUUCCUAUUACAGUUCUUUGUGCCCUCUUCCUUUGAGACGGCAAUCUAUGCAGAUCUUAAGGGUGGCGGACACCCCUAUCUCAAUGGUCUGGCGAUAGCUGGCGGAAUGUAUUGGAUUGGCUGGCAAGGAGCCAUCUUUGGUCCCCUCAUGCUGUGCUUCUUCAUCGGUCUCUUCGAGGUGGCCACCCUGGCCAUGAGAACGAGCCAAGAGCCUAGGUAUGUUUGGAGAUCAAGUUAGUUUUACAUUUGUUUGCAUGCAAGUUAAGAAACUUUUAUCAAAAAUAAACCGCAGCCUACGGAUUUAAGCGCAGUUCGGAUGAGGAGACGCGCACUACGUGAGUUGGAUUAAGGAAGAUUGAAACACUACGAAUUUCCUCUUAUACUCGAAAUGCAAUCUAACAAAUCAAUUAGCCAAGUUAAUGAACUAACUAAUAAUUGUCAUCACAGUUUAUCCAGUUUAAGUUUCCAGUUUUACUUAUAUUAAUAUUUGAUGCAUCGCUUUGUUUCUAUUUUGUACUAAAUUUUAAAGUAUACAAAAAUACGAUUCCGUCUUGAAAUCUCGGUAUUAAAAUUAAUCAACUUAAAUAACUAAUAUCAUAUAAGACUUGAUACUCUUGAAAAGCUUAAAAAAACAGCUUAAUCCUUGAAGCUUUAGCAUUUAAUGUCCUUAUCAUACUUUUCAAGGGUAUUUACGCUUCGAUCAGCCGAAGAUAGCUUUUUAGUUGUAGUAUUAAUCACAAAACUCUGUUUGACUUUUUUUUAUGUAUAUAAUGAAAGAAUUUCUGUUUAAAGCUUGACUCUAAAAACCGCAAAACCGGUUUGAAUGCAAGAACGUACCUUAUUUUGUGCUCGCUACAAAUGUGAUUUGUUUAAGCUUAAGUUUAAAGUUCCGUUGCAAAUAAAUGUCAUUUACCUACUAACAAAAAAA